rnacentral:rRNA from 1 species
CGUGUCGUGAGAUGUUGGGUUAAGUCCCGCAACGAGCGCAACCCUCACCCCUAGUUGCCACCGGGUAAAGCCGAGCACUCGAGGGGAACUGCCAGCGUCAAGCUGGAGGAAGGCGGGGAUGACGUCAAGUCAUCAUGCCCCUUACGUCCUGGGCUACACACGUGCUACAAUGGCCAGUACAAAGGGAUGCGAGACCGCGAGGUGGAGCUAAUCCCAAAAAGCUGGUCUAAGUUCAGAUUGCAGUCUGCAACUCGACUGCAUGAAGGAGGAAUCGCUAGUAAUCGC